rnacentral:rRNA from 1 species
ACCGUGAGGGAAAGGCGAAAAGAACCCCGGCGAGGGGAGUGAAAAAGAACCUGAAACCGUGUACGUACAAGCAGUGGGAGCACAGGUUUACCUGUGUGACUGCGUACCUUUUGUAUAAUGGGUCAGCGACUUAUAUUCUGUAGCAAGGUUAACCGAAUAGGGGAGCCGGAGGGAAACCGAGUCUUAAUUGGGCGUUAAGUUGCAGGGUAUAGACCCGAAACCCGGUGAUCUAGCCAUGGGCAGGUUGAAGGUUGGGUAACACUAACUGGAGGACCGAACCGACUAAUGUUGAAAAAUUAGCGGAUGACCUGUGGCUGGGGGUGAAAGGCCAAUCAAACCGGGAGAUAGCUGGUUCUCCCCGAAAGCUAUUUAGGUAGCGCCUCGUGAAUUCAUCUCCGGGGGUAGAGCACUGUUUCGGCUAGGGGGCCAUCCCGGCUUACCAACCCGAUGCAAACUGCGAAUACCGGAGAAUGUUAUCACGGGAGACACACGGCGGGUGCUAACGUCCGUCGUGAAGAGGGAAACAACCCAGACCGCCAGCUAAGGUCCCAAAGUCAUGGUUAAGUGGGAAACGAUGUGGGAAGGCCCAGACAGCCAGGAUGUUGGCUUAGAAGCAGCCAUCAUUUAAAGAAAGCGUAAUAGCUCACUGGUCGAGUCGGCCUGCGCGGAAGAUGUAACGGGGCUAAACCAUGCACCGAAGCUGCGGCAGCGACGCUUAUGCGU